GACGAACGCUGGCGGCGUGCCUAAUACAUGCAAGUCGAACGCAGUGGGGACGGGUGAGUAACACGUGGGUAACCUCCCCUCAGAGGGGAUAACACUUGGAAACAGGUGCUAAACCGAUACUGAUGGAUGGACCCGCGGUGCAUUAGCUAGUUGGUGAGGUCACGGCUCACCAAGGCAACGAUGCCUAGCCGACCUGGGAGGGGUUUCGUCCACCCUGGGACUGAGACACGGCCCAGACUCCUACGGGAGGCAGCAGUAGGGAAUCUUCGUCAAUGUACGAAAGUCUGACCGAGCAACGCCCCGGGAGGGAAGAAGGUUUUCGGAUCGUAAGACUCUGUUGUUAGAGAAGCGGUAUCUAACCAGAAAGCCACGGCUAACUACGUGCCAGCAGCCGCGGUAAUUC
rnacentral:rRNA from 1 species